CACGUAGGGCGCAAGCGUUGUCCGGAAUUAUUGGGCGUAAAGAGCUCGUAGGCGGCCAGUUGCGUCCGCUGUGAAAUCCCGGGGCUUAACCCCGGGCGUGCAGUGGAUACGGGCUGGCUAGAGGCAGGCAGGGGAGAACGGAAUUCCCGGUGUAGCGGUGAAAUGCGCAGAUAUCGGGAGGAACACCGGUGGCGAAAGCGGCUCACUGGACCACAACUGACGCUGAGGCGCGAAAGCUAGGGGAGCAAACAGG
rnacentral:rRNA from 1 species